rnacentral:rRNA from 1 species
AUUGAACGCUGGCGGCAUGCCUUACACAUGCAAGUCGAACGGCAGCACGGGAGCAAUCCUGGUGGCGAGUGGCGAACGGGUGAGUAAUAUAUCGGAACGUGCCCAGUCGUGGGGGAUAACGUAGCGAAAGCUACGCUAAUACCGCAUACGAUCUAUGGAUGAAAGCGGGGGAUCGCAAGACCUCGCGCGAUUGGAGCGGCCGAUAUCAGAUUAGCUAGUUGGUGAGGUAAUGGCUCACCAAGGCGACGAUCCCUAGCUGGUUUGAGAGGAUGAUCAGUCACACUGGAACUGAGACACGGUCCAGACUCCUACGGGAGGCAGCAGUGGGGAAUAUUGGACAAUGGGCGAAAGCCUGAUCCAGCCAUGCCGCGUGUGUGAAGAAGGUCUUCGGAUUGUAAAGCACUUUAAGUUGGGAGGAAGGGUAGUAACCUAAUACGUUGCUACUUUGACGUUACCGACAGAAUAAGCACCGGCUAACUUCGUG